rnacentral:rRNA from 1 species
AUCUCUACCCUUUGUGACUAUUAUACCUGUUGCUUCGGCGGCGCCCGCGAGGGCGCCCGCCGGUCUCAUCAGAAUCUCUGUUUUCGAACCCGACGAUACUUCUGAGUGUUCUUAGCGAACUGUCAAAACUUUUAACAACGGAUCUCUUGGCUCCAGCAUCGAUGAAGAACGCAGCGAAACGCGAUAUGUAAUGUGAAUUGCAGAAUUCAGUGAAUCAUCGAAUCUUUGAACGCACAUGGCGCCUUCCAGUAUCCUGGGAGGCAUGCCUGUCCGAGCGUCGUUUCAACCCUCGAGCCCCUGUGGCCCGGCGUUGGGGAUCUGCCACGGCAGGCCCCUAAAACCAGUGGCGGACCCGUUGGGCCCUCUCCUUUGCGCAGUAGCAUCAGCCUCGCAUCGGGAGCCCUCGGCGUCCUGCCUCUAAACCCCCCACAAGCCCGCUCCGGCGGCACCAAGGUUGACCUCGGAUCAGGUAGGAAUACCCGCUGAACUUAAGCAUAUCAAUAGACGGGAGGAAAUUACUGACUACUACACUCUCUACCCUAUGUGAACUAUUAUACCUGUUGCUUCGGCGGCGCCCGCGAGGGCGCCCGCCGGUCUCAUCAGAAUCUCUGUUUUCGAACCCGACGAUACUUCUGAGUGUUCUUAGCGAACUGUCAAAACUUUUAACAACGGAUCUCUUGGCUCAGCAUCGAUGAAGAACGCAGCGAAACGCGAUAUGUAAUGUGAAUUGCAGAAUUCAGUGAAUCAUCGAAUCUUUGAACGCACAUGGCGCUUUCAGUAUCCUGGGAGGCAUGCCUGUCGAGCGUCGUUUCACCCUCGAGCCCUGUGGCCGGCGUUUGGGGAUCUGCACGGCAGGCCCUAAAACAAUGGCGGACCGUUGGGCCUCUCAAUGCGCAGUAGCAUCAGCUCGCAUCGGAGCCUCGGCAUCUGCCUCUUAACCCCCAA